rnacentral:tRNA from 1 species
AGCAGCAUGGCCUAGUGGAUAAAGCACAGGCCUGGGAAUCAGAAGGACCUGGGUUCUAAUCCCAGUUCUGCCA